rnacentral:rRNA from 1 species
GAUUAACGCUGGCGGCGUGCCUAACACAUGCAAGUCGAACGAGGUAGCAAUACCUAGUGGCAGACGGGUGAGUAACGCGUGGUCAACCUACCGUUGAGUGGGGGAUAACUAGCCGAAAGGUUAGCUAAUACCGCAUACGUCUCCGAGGGGCAUCCCUUGGCGAUAAAAGGAGCAAUCCGCUCGAUGACGGGACCGCGUCCCAUUAGCUAGAUGGUGGGGUAACGGCCUACCAUGGCACCGANGGGUAGCUGGUUUGAGAGAGCGACCAGCCACACUGGGACUGAGAAACGGCCCAGACUCCUACGGGAGGCAGCAGUGAGGAAUUUUCCGCAAUGGGCGCAAGCCUGACGGAGCGACGCCGCGUGUGGGAAGAAGGCCUUCGGUCGUAACC